rnacentral:rRNA from 1 species
UGAGGAAUAUUGGUCAAUGGGCGCAAGCCUGAACCAGCCAUCCCGCGUGAAGGAAGAAUGCGCUACGCGUUGUAAACUUCUUUUCCAGGGGGAGAAUUUUCCUGUCGAGACAGGGAUUGACGGUACCCUGGGAAUAAGCAUUGGCUAACUCCGUGCCAGCAGCCGCGGUAAUACGGAGGAUGCGAGCGUUAUCCGGAUUUAUUGGGUUUAAAGGGUGUGUAGGCGGAUUGAUAAGUCAGUGGUGAAAUUCUGCAGCUUAACUGUAGACUUGCCGUUGAUACUGUUAGUCUUGAGUGUGGUCAAGGCAGGCGGAAUGUGUAAUGUAGCGGUGAAAUGCUUAGAUAUUACACAGAACACCGAUUGCGAAGGCAGCUUGCUGGGUCAUUACUGACGCUGAGGCACGAAAGCGUGGGGAUCAAACAG